rnacentral:rRNA from 1 species
CCUACGGGAGUCUGCAGUGGGGAAUAUUGGACAAUGGGGGAAACCCUGAUCCAGCGACGCCGCGUGAGUGAAGAAGUAUUUCGGUACGUAAAGCUCUAUCAGCAGGAAAGAAAAUGACGGUACCUGACUAAGAAGCCCCGGCUAACUACUUGCCCGCAGCCGCGGUAAUACGUAGGUGGCAAGCGUUAUCCGGAUUUCCUGGGUGUAAAUGGAGCGUAGACGGCAGCGCAAUUCUGGAGUGAAAUGCCGGGGCCCAAGGCCGGCACUGCUCUGGAAACUGUGAAGCUGGAGUGCAGGAGAGGUAAGCGGAAUUCCUGGUGUAGCGGUGAAAGGCGUAGGUAUCAGGAGGAAAACCGGCGGCGAAGGCGGCUUACUGGACUGUAACUGACGUUGAGGCUCGAAGGCGUGGGGAGCAAACAGGAUUAGAUACCCCAGUAGUC